rnacentral:rRNA from 1 species
GUUUGAUCCUGGCUCAGAAUCAACGCUGGCGGCGCGCCUAACACAUGCAAGUCGAACGAGAAAGCCGCAAGGCAAGUAAAGUGGCGUACGGGUGAGUAACACGUGGAUUAUCUGCCCUCUAGUGGGGAAUACCGUUGGGAAACCGACGACAAUACCGCAUAAGCUCGAGAGAGGAAAGCAGCAAUGCGCUGGAGGAGGAGUCCGCGGUCGAUUAGUUAGUUGGCAGGGUAAAAGCCUACCAAGACUGUGAUCGAUAGCCGGCCUGAGAGGGCACACGGCCACAUUGGCACUGAAACACGGGCCAAACUCCUACGGGAGGCAGCAGUGGGGGAUCUUGCACAAUGGGGGAAACCCUGAUGCAGCGACGCCGCGUGAGCGAUGAAGCCCUUCGGGGUGUAAA